GUUUUCGAGGCAUCCGCGUGACAUACCUUGCCCUGAAGAUAUUUCAGUGGGUUGAGAAAAAGGUUAAAUGGUCGAACAUAUUUUUUUUUCGGAUCAGCAGAUUUUUUUCGGAUAUUUCUUGAGAUUUUAAUUUCUGUCCAGAUCUUAAAGAUCUGCACAGACAUUUAGGAGACUAAUUUUUCUGUUUAAGUGCGAAGGUUAAGAACGAAAAUUGGUCAGCCCCUGACCGGCUCCAGUUUUGGCAGGUGAUAGGGUGAUCUCUGAAACUCUUGUGAUUGCACUGUUGUUCAACGGUGCUGUGGGUGAGAUCUAAAUAAUAAAAGAGCUCGUAUAAUUUUGGUGCACAAAAUUGCAUGUUUAUUGUUCUGUGGAUUAAUUACUGAAAUUGUACAUUUUGCAUUGAUAAUUGAUCUGACAAUAGGAGCAUGUUUUAGGAAUUAUACAAAGUUCUUUAUAUUUGUUGAGUAAUUCCUUGAAUUCCAGCACAUUGAUUGCUUGUGUACAUUGUUUUUAGUUGUGCAAGUUAGGAUAAUUGUUUUUCAUUCUGUAAUCUGCAUUCCUUAAAUCAGUUAGGAAGUUUCUUGGUUUUGUUUUUGUAAUCAUAUAUUGAGGUGUCUGUUAUGGCUUCCAGUAGUAGCCACCCCUUUUCAGAACCUAUGAUGGGUUCGAAAGUCGAACUAUCACAAUUCGAUGGAAAGGGGGAUUACUCGAUUUGGAAGCAGAAAAUGAGGGCUAUAUUGGUCCAACAGAGGGUUGCUAAAGCCUUGGACGACCUUGACAAAUAUUCUGAUGAACUUAAAGCCAAACCAGAUGAGAUUCUUGAAAUGAAUGAAAUAGCUUAUAGUUCGAUUAUCCUGCACUUAUCUGAUAAUAUUGUAAGACAAGUAGAAGAAUCCAAAACUGCUAGAGAUCUUUGGACAGCCUUAGAUAACUUGUUCUUAACCAAGACUUUACCAAAUAAAAUUUAUCUCCUGGAAAAACUGUUUAGUUUUAAAAUGGAUGAUCGGAAAGACCUGGAAACCAAUUUGAGUGAUUUUAGCAUACCGGUGAAGAGUCUUGCUCAUAAUGAUAAAAAAUUUGAAGAUGAGGAUCUUGCAGUAAUCCUUCUAAACUCUUUACCUGAUUCUUAUAAGGAUAUCAAAAAUGCUAUAAAAUACUCAAAAGACGCAUUAACACAAUCAAUCGUGACAAAUGCCCUAAGAUCUAGGGAAUUGGAAGUCAAGAAAGAAUCUAAACUAAACUCAAGAGAAGAGAGUUUAUUUGUGAGAGGAAAACCAGAAAAGAGGGAAAGUAAUUCCCAGAACAAAAGAUUCAAGUCCAAAUCCAGAACCAGAUCUAAAUCAAGAGACAAAAGCAAUAAAAAAAUGCUAUCACUGUGGGAAACUUGGACAUUUUAAAAGAGACUGUUAUGAGCUAAAGAAGAAGCUAAAAGAAUCCAGCAACAUUGAGUUAAAUAAUGCUGCUGUGAGUUCUAAACUUGACAGUCUUCUUGUAAUGACCGUGACAAAUGAAGAAAUAAAUACUAAUUGGAUUCUGGAUUCUAGAUGUACAUUUCAUAUGUGCCCAAACAAAUCUUGAUUUCAUAACUACAAGGAGAUAGAACCCAGAAAAGUAUAUAUGGGUGAUAACAAUUCACAAAAUGUAUUGGGAAUUGGGGACAUUUCAAUCAAAAUGUAUGAUGGAAGUGUUAGACUGAUUAAAAAUGUGAGAUAUGUCCCAAAUCUAAAAAGAAACCUCAUUUCAUUGGGGAUUCUUGAAGAUGAGGGACAUACAUUUAGAUCUGAAAAUAACACUUUGAAAAUCUUGAAAGGAUCUCUUGUAGUCAUGAAUGGGCCUAAAAGGAAUGGGCUAUAUUACUUAAUGGGAAAAACUGUUAAUUCCCAGGACUCAAAUUCUUUAACUAUAACUGAGUGCAAAUCUGAAUUGUGGCAUUGUAAAAUGGGUCAUAUUAGAAAUAAGGGCUUAAAGUAUCUUAAUGACCAGAAAUUGUUUGGGAAAGAUAAAGUCGAACCCCUUAACUUUUGUGAAACAUGUGUGUUAGGGAAGUCUCAUAGAGUGAGUUUUGAGACCGGGUCACACACAACAAAUAGACCUUUGGACUAUGUCCAUUCGGAUUUAUGGGGGCCAGAAAAUCACCCAACCUUUGGUGGAAAUAAAUAUUUUCUUUCUAUAACUGAUGAUUAUUCUAGAAAGGUCUGGACCUACCCUUUGAAAUCCAAAAAUGAAACUUUUCAAAAAUUCAGAUUGUGGUUAAAGAUGGUUGAGAACCAAUUGGACAAGAAAUUAAAAACCUUAAGGACAGAUAAUGGGUUGGAAUUUUGCAAUGCUGAAUUUGAAAAUUUUUGCAAGCAAAAAGGAAUUAUUAGACAUAGAACUGUUAAGCAUACUCCCCAACAAAAUGGGGUUACUGAGAGAAUGAAUAGAACCCUUAUGAAUAAGGUAAGAUGUAUGCUGAUCAGUUCUGGGCUUGCAAAAGGAUUUUGGGCAGAGGCUUUAUGCACUGCUGCCUACCUCAUAAAUAGGUCCCCUUGUAGUUCUGUAGAGUUUAAAACUCCACAGGAACUAUGGACUGGAAAACCACCAAAUCUGUCACACUUAAGAGUUUUUGGUUGUGCUGCAUAUGCACAUCAAGUUGAGGGAAAAUUAGACUCGAGGGCUACCAAGUGUGUUAUGCUUGGAUAUUUUGAAGGGGUUAAAGGGUACAUGUUAUGGGUACUUGGUAUUAAAGGAAUAAAAAUCAUUAACAGCAGAAAUGUGGUGUUUAAUGAAACUGAGAUGCCUUGUUUGAAGAGUAAUAUGGAUAAAUCAGAUCGGGCUGAAAAGGCUACUUCCCAAAGUGAGGUGAAGUUGGCAAAAUUAAAUAACAGCAGAUCUGAUGUAACUGAAUCAGAACCUGUACAGGUCAUUGAAAGUAUAGAAAAUACUGAUGAAGGUGAAGUUGAUCCACCCCAAACUAGAACUGAAACAGAAUCUGAAACAAUGGCAUCUAACUACCCAGAAAAUGAACCUAGUACCAAAGAUUAUCAAUUGGUGAGAGAUAGGGACAGGAGACAGAUUAAACCUAACCCUAGGUAUGAAAUGAAUAAUCUGACCGAAUUUGCCCUCAUCUCUGGUGAAAACUUAGAACAUUCUUAACCCUUUUCUUAUGAAGAAGCAAUGAAUAGUUCUAAGUCAAAAGAAUGGAAAGAAGCAAUGAAAGAAGAAAUGAAAUCCCUUCUUGAAAAUAAAACCUGGAAACUUGUAAAGAAGCCAAAGAACCAAAGAGUGGUUCAGUGUAAGUGGAUCUUUAAGUUGAAGGAAGGUAUUUCUGAAUCUGAUCCUUUGAGGUAUAAGGCAAGGCUUGUAGCCAAAGGGUUCACUCAAAGGGAGGGAGUUGAUUACAAUGAAAUUUUUUCACCUGUAAUCAAAUAUAAAACCAUAAGACUCAUUUUGGCUCUAGUUGUUCAAUUUGAUUGGGAAUUAGAACAAUUAGAUGUGAAAACUGCCUUUUUACAUGGGGAAUUGGAAGAGGACAUUUAUAUGUGUCAACCUCAAGGUUUCGAAGAAAGGNCAAUCAUGACAAAUGCCCUAAGAUCUAGGGAACUGGAAGUCAAGAAAGAAUCUAAACUAAACUCAAGAGAAGAGAGUUUAUUUGUGAGAGGAAGACCAGAAAAGAGGGAAAGUAAUUCCCAGAACAAAAGAUUCAAGUCCAAAUCCAGAACCAGAUCUAAAUCAAGAGACAAAAGCAAUAAAAAAUGCUAUCACUGUGGGAAACUUGGACAUUUUAAAAGAGACUGUUAUGAGCUAAAGAAGAAGCUAAAAGAAUCCAGCAACAUUGAGUUAAAUAAUGCUGCUGUGAGUUCUGAACUUGACAGUCUUCUUGUAAUGACUGUGACAAAUGAAGAAACAGAUACUAAUUGGAUUCUGGAUUCUGGAUGUACAUUUCAUAUGUGCCCAAACAAAUCUUGGUUUCAUAACUACAAGGAGAUAGAACCCAGAAAAGUAUAUAUAGGUGAUAACAAUUCACAAAAUAUAUUGGGAAUUGGGGACAUUUCAAUCAAAAUGUAUGAUGGAAGUGUUAGACUGAUUAAAAAUGUGAGAUACAUUUAAAUCUGAAAAUAACACUUUGAAAAUCUUGAAAGGAUCUCUUGUAGUCAUGAAGGGGCCUAAAAGGAAUGGGCUAUAUUACUUAAUGGGAAAACUGUUGAUUCCCAGGACUCAAAUUCAUUAACUAUAACUGAGUGCAAAUCUGAAUUGUGGCAUUGUAGAAUGGGUCAUAUUGGAAAUAAGGGCUUUAAGUAUCUUAAUGACCAGAAAUUGUUUGGAAAGAUAAAGUCGAACCCCUUAACUUUUGUGAAACAUGUGUGUUAGGGAAGUCUCAUAGAGUGAGUUUUGAGACCGGGUCACACACACAACAAAUAGACCUUUGGACUAUGUCCAUGCGGAUUUAUGGGGGCCAGAAAAUCACCCAACCUUUGGUGGAAAUAAAUAUUUUCUUUCUAUAAUUGAUGAUUAUUCUAGAAAGGUCUGGACCUACCCUUUGAAAUUCAAAAAUGAAACUUUUCAAAAAUUCAGAUUGUGGUUAAAGAUGGUUGAGAACUAACUGGACAAGAAAUUAAAAACCUUAAGGACAGAUAAUGGGUUGGAAUUUUGCAAUCCUGAAUUUGAUAAUUUUUGCAAGCAAAAAGGAAUUAUUAGACAUCGAACUGUUAAGCAUACUCCCCAACAAAAUGGGGUUACUGAGAGAAUGAAUAGAACCCUUAUGAAUAAGGUAAGAUGUAUGCUGAUAAGUUCUGGGCUUGCAAAAGGAUUUUGGGCAGAGGCUUUAUGCACUGCUGCCUACCUCAUAAAUAGAUCCCCUUGUAGUUCUGUAGAGUUUAAAACUCCACAGGAACUAUGGACUGGAAAACCACCAAAUCUAUCACACUUAAGAGUUUUUGGUUGUGCUACAUAUGCACAUCAAGUUGAGGGAAAAUUAGACCCGAGGGCUACCAAGUGUGUUAUGUUUGGAUACCCUGAAGGGGUUAAAGGGUACAGGUUAUGGGUACUUGGUAUUAAAGGAAUAAAAAUCAUUAACAGCAGAAAUGUGGUGUUUAAUAAAACUCAGAUGCCUUGUUUGAAGAGUAAUAUGGAUAAAUCAGAUCUGGCUGAAAAGGGUACUUCCCAAAGUGAGGUGAAGUUGGCAAAAUUAAAUAACAGCAGAUCUGAUGUAACUGAAUCAGAACCUGUACAAGUCAUUGAAAGUAUAGAAAAUACUGAUGAAGGUGAAGUUGAUCCAUCCCAAACUGGAACUGAAACAGAAUCUGAAACAAUGGCAUCUAACUACCCAGAAAAUGAACCUAGUACCAAAGAUUAUCAAUUGGUGAGAGAUAGGGACAGGAGACAGAUUAAACCUAACCCUAGGUAUGAAAUGAAUAAUCUGACUGAAUUUGCCCUCAUCUCUGGUGAAAACUUAGAACAUUCUUAACCCUUUUCUUAUGAAGAAGCAAUGAAUAGUUCUAAGUCAAAAGAAUGGAAAGAAGCAAUGAAAGAAGAAAUGAAAUCCCUUCUUGAAAAUAAAACCUAGAAACUUGUAAAGAAGCCAAAGAACCAAAGAGUGGUUCAGUGUAAGUGGAUCUUUAAGUUGAAGGAAGGUAUUUCUGAAUCUGAUCCUUUGAGGUAUAAGGCAAGGCUUGUAGCCAAAGGGUUCGCUCAAAGGGAGGGAGUUGAUUACAAUGAAAUUUUUUCACCUGUAAUCAAAUAUAAAACCAUAAGGCUCAUUUUGGCUCUAGUUGUUCAAUUUGAUUGGGAAUUAGAACAAUUAGAUGUGAAAACUGCCUUUUUACAUGGGGAAUUGGAAGAGGACAUUUAUAUGUGUCAACCUCAAGGUUUCGAAGAAAGGGGGAAAUCUGAUUUUGUUUGUAAAUUGCAAAAAUCACUGCAUGGACUGAAACAAAGUCCAAGACAGUGGUAUAUAAGGUUUGACACAUGUUUUGAAAAUUGAUUUUAGAAGGAGUGAAUAUGAUCACUGUUUAUACUAUAAUAAUUCUAAAACCAGGUCUAAAACGGAUCUACUACUCUACGUAGAUGAUAUGCUUCUUACCAGCCCCAGUAAAGCUGAAAUAAUGAGGCUGAAAAACCUAUUAUGGUCUGAAUUUGAUAUGAAGGACUUAGGAAAUGCCAAGAAAAUUUUAGGGAUGGUGAUAAACCGAAAUAGGCAAGAAAACAUGCUAACCAUAUCACAAGAACCCUACCUGCACAAAGUUAUAACGAAGUUUGGCAUGAAAGAAGCUAAGUCCGUCAAUGUUCCCCUUGCUGCCCAUAUGAAUCUCUCAUCAGCCCAGUGUCCAAAAACUGAAUCUGAAAUUAAAGAUAUGACAAAUAUCCCAUAUGCCAAUGCAAUUGGAUCUGUUAUGUUUUCCAUGAUUACAACACGACCAGAUCUUGCAUAUUCAAUCAGUUUUUUAAGUAGGUUUAUGGCAAACCCUGGAAAACCACAUUGGGCUGGGUUAAAGUGGCUACUUAGAUACAUAGUUGGGACACUAAAUGUAGGAUUGGUGUUCAAAAAGGGAUCGAAACCAUUAACUCUUAAAGGAUAUGUGGAUUCCGAUUUCGCUGGAGAUAAAGAUCAAAGAAAGUCUACAACUGCCUUCUUUUUUACACUUGGUGAUAAUUGUAUUACGUGGAAGUCUCAACUUCAAUCAAUUGUAACUUUGUCUAGCACUGAAGCUGAAUAUGUGGCAAUUACUGAAUGUGUAAAAGAAUGCAUGUGGCUUAAAGGGAUCUUAACUGAACUGAAUUUUCUAAAUACUCCACCUGUGAUAUUAACUGAUAGUCAAAGUGCUUUACUUUUAAGCAAAAAUCCUGUCUAUCAUGAAAGGUCAAAACACAUUGAGGUGAAGUAUCAUUUCAUAAGACAAAACUCUCAUCUGGCGAAAUGGCUCUUGAGAAAAUUCAUACUGAUUUUAAUCCUGCUGAUAUGGGGACUAAAAUACUGACUGUUAAUAAAUUCAGAUCUUGUUUAUCAUUGCUUAAUAUUGAUACAGGUUAAUUUUUUGUGCAGGUACUUGGGCGAUGAUGUAGGGUAUGGUUCUGUCACUAGCAUUAUAGCAACAAGAAAGGAACUACGCGGUUUGAGAACCAAGGUGAAGAUUUGUGAAGUCGUGAUUCUCAAACAGCACAUCCAUAAGUGAAAAAACGUUUUCUACUCUUUAUACUCCAUGGACAUAUGGCAUUCGGUUAUUGGAUAAAAUAAUGUCACUAGAAUUGUGGUUUUUCUCUUAUCAUUUAUGGACCAUUGAUCCACAUCUAUGGUUGAGAUUUAGUCUCAUAUAAUUAAUGCAAAGGGAGACUUUAAGGGUUGGUGAGAAGAAGUCAGCCGGCACUUUCUUUCCAUUUGGCAGAAAUUGUCCCUUCAAGUUUCUCUCUCUCUCUCGAGUUCCUUCAUGUUUCUGCUUCUUCUUUUCUCUUUUUGAAUUGAAGAACCAGUGAAGAUUAUUGUAAUAAUCUUGUUGUUAUCUGAUGAUGAUAGAACUAUGGUACAGAGUUUUAGGCCUUGAUUGUGGCUGGUAAAUCUGCAGUGUGUUCUUGGGAAGGUUUUGUCUAGUCUUGUGAGCUAGGUUUUCGAGUUAUUGAGAGAUCCUUGUGGAUCGAUGAUCAUAUAGUGGGUAUGAUGUGGUUUCUUCAACUGGUUGUACACUCUCUUGAAGGUUUCUUACUAGUGAUGGGCUCACCUCUGAGCCCCCCAGAUUAGGUCAUUUUUUGCUGAACUGGGUGAAAAUUUCUGUGUUCGAUUUUCUGUUCUUGCUUUAUUUUUUACUAUUUUACG
rnacentral:lncRNA from 1 species